GUCUCUUUACAUACGUAAAUAAAGGUUUUUUUGGUAAGUCAUAAUUCAAAAUGUUGUUUUUUCUUGUCAGAAGAGAACAUGGAUACAUUUGUGAGAGAAAAACUCGUCGAGUGCAGUCUUAUCGAGACGUCUAACGGUUGGAACAAACGUGGAAUUCCUUAACCGAGUCCACAAAACCCCAUCCAUCUGUCAUGGCGAUUUGAAAAUGCCAGCAGAUCUCUCAGGCAUUGAUCAUAAUCAAUGGACAGGUAAGGACAUUCUGGACAAUUUUCAAAAGGAAUUGCAAAUUGUAUAUUUAAUUGCAUUUUCCCACAUGUGGACGCAUAAAUUGUGACAUA